GCCGCUGUGGUGGAACUGGUAGACACGGGGGACUUAAAAUCCCCUGCUCCGAAAGGAGCUUCUCGGUUCAAAUCCGAGCGGCGGCACCA
rnacentral:tRNA from 1 species